AUAAUUUGCCCAGUGAUGCUACAGGUGUCUCUUGGCCUCUCCUGCCAAGACAUCCACCCACUGCUGCUGGUGGGAGCUGAAGCGAUGGAUAUGUUUCACUCUGGGAGUUCCCUGUUUCAGCUCCCAGCUACAGCCUGCCAAGACUCAAGCAAAUAUUCAAGUAAAGGUUGAGGCAUUCACUGAGCUUGAACUAUUGUACAAGAAAUACCCCGAAGCAAAAACAGAGCUAUGAGACACCAUCACACAGAGUCACUUCCCCCACCCCGGCAGGCACCAUGCCGUACCAGACAAACUCCUCCAGAUAGGAUCCAGGCAGAGAUGUUUGCUUAACAUAGCAGCUCUUUGAAAAGGCAAAUAAAUGGACAGUGAAGCUACACAGACAUGUCACUGUGCAGCGAUUUCCGUUUAGCAUUUACGUUUAGUGCCAGGAAACCCUGACUCAUGUAUACGAAAUCAGAAGGAAAGGAAGAAAGCAGUUGUUCAUUAUCAGAGCUUCCAAUUGGGCAUGUGGUGGAAAUUAGCAUUAAAACGCACGGAGGUUACAAAGAGAGGGGCUGGCCCUGGAAGUCCAGGAGGCUUAAAGACCACAGCUCUGCAACAAGGUUCCAACACCAGUGGUGACCAUCCUGCAGGACCCCCAAUGCUGUGCCCAGCGUGCCUCGCAGCCCCAACCCACACCAACUAGAAGACCUUCAUGACUUCAGCAGGAGCCAGCAGCAACACACAGGCACAAAGGUAAAGAGCAACCUUCAUACUUACAUGACCAGAGUGAGAGAAGUGAGCUGAAUGAUGGUGAGCUGGGUGCUGAGCAUGGAGAAACUACAUGAGUGAGCUGCAGCUGCUACACUGCUGAGGGUGUGCAAGCAGUGCAAGUUAUCAUGGUUAUAUGUAGAUCUAUUUGCUCGAAUUCACAUUCUCCUGUUAAGACUUCAGGGAUUUCUUUCCCCAGAAUGAGCAGCCCAGUGUGUACCUCCAUUCCACAAAAUGGUGGAGAAAAAAACAGAACGGUGGGCUCAUAUUGGUGCUGUAAUUUAGUUUUCUAAGCCCAGAGUUUACCAUGUGCUUCCUGUUGAAACGACUGGCUGCUCUGGGCACACUAAGAAGAAUCCUUCCUCCUUCUCAUCUCCACCUCAGCAUUAUGAAAAGGGUUUUCAUCAGUUCAUCGAGAGAAGGAGAUAAGUUUGCUAUAAAAGUGCACAGUCGACAGGGUUGAGUUUUUGGAGAGUGUAUAAUUUUUUUUUUUUUUGCACUGUUAUUAUUUAAAAUAUGCUUUUUAAAAGGACAAAAGGGAACGGUUUAAUGGAAACAAAUUUCGACAGCAGAAUGUGCAGCUGGGUAAAAAAAAAAAAAAAGAUGAUUCCUGUUAUUGCUUGGGUAGACAAGUGAAUUUGGAAUGUGAGCACAAAAGGUGUUUAAAAGUGUGCUUCAACUUCUUCUUCGCUGCGCUGUUGAGAUUGAAAAGAAUAAUUUCAGGAGAGAAACUUUUCUCAGUGCCUCCGUUUCCAGCAUUGUCAAAUCUAUAGCAGUGGCCUUUUCCCACAGCUAUUAUCAUGUUUUCACCUUUUCUUCUUUUACCUCGUUUGUCCUCUUUGAAAGAAAAUACAGGGCUGAAAGGUGUGCG
ensembl:lncRNA